GAAAGGAGUCCAUUGCUACAGUCCUGAAUCCCAUCACCUUGUACUCAUCAGAUAAGCAAAUUCUUGGCAGAUUUUAAUUCAUUCAGUGGAGCUCAGGGUUCUGCAGUCUGAAAAAGUGGAACAUUCGCUUCUUAACAGAAGACUCCAGCACAGAAGAGGAGGAGCUAAGAUCUGCAGGCACUGGAUCCAGGUACAAACACAGAGCCCAAGCCUCUCAGCAAGCAGCCCAGAAGUGGAGAUCCCUGAACCAAGACAUUUAGCAGCCGCCCCUUUUGUCUGAUUUCUUUGAGAAACUGGCCCCCUCUGAACUGGGCCCUUGCACACCCUCGAGUCUGCUUGCCACUGCAGACAACACACUAGAUGGAGUUACAAAGAGGCGGAGGCGGCAGCAACCCAAGUUAUUGGGUGCUUGAGGCAAAAUGCAAAUUGCUGCCCAACCUUG